rnacentral:rRNA from 1 species
AGUGAACGCUGGCGGUAGGCCUAACACAUGCAAGUCGAACGGCAGCACAGUAAGAGUUUGCCCUAACGGGUGGCGAGGGGCGGACGGGUAGGGAAUACACCGGAUUCUAUUUUUUGGUGGGGGAAAACGAAGGGAACCUUCCGCAAAUACCCCAUACGACUUACGGUUGAAGCCAGGGAAUCUUCGGCCCUUGCGCGAUUGAUUGAGCCGAUGUCGGAUUAGCUAGUUGGCGGGGUAAAGGCCCACCAAGGCGACGAUCCGUAGCUGGUCUGAGAGGAUGAUCAGCCACACUGGAACUGAGACACGGUCCAGACUCCUACGGGAGGCAGCAGUGGGGAAUAUUGGACAAUGGGCGCAAGCCUGAUCCAGCCAUACCGCGUGGGUGAAGAAGGCCUUCGGGUUGUAAAGCCCUUUUGUUGGGAAAGAAAAGCAGCAGGUUAAUACCCCGCUGUUCUGACGGUACCCAAAGAAUAAGCACCGGCUAACUUCGUG